GAUGAACGCUGGCGGCGUGCCUAAUACAUGCAAGUCGAGCGAACAGACGAGGAGCUUGCUCCUCUGACGUUAGCGGCGGACGGGUGAGUAACACGUGGAUAACCUCCCUUUACGACUGGGAAAAUUCCGGGAAACGGGACCCAAUACCGGUUAAUUUAUUAAACAGCAUGGUUCACUCGUGAAAGAAGCUUUUGCUGUCAUUUAUGGAUGGACCGGCGCCGCAUUAGCUAGUUGGUAAGUUAACGGCUUACCAAGGCAACGAUGCUUAGCCGACCUGCGAGGGUGAGCGGCCACCCUGGAACUGAGACACGGUCCAGACUCCUACGGGAGGCAGCAGUAGGGAAUCUUCCGCAAUGGGCGAAAGCCUGACGGAGCAACGCCGCGUGAGUGAUGAAGGUCUUCGGAUCGUAAAACUCUGUUAUUAGGGAAGAACAAAUGUGUAAGUAACUAUGCACGUCUUGACGGUACCUAAUCAGAAAGCCACGGCUAACUACGUG
rnacentral:rRNA from 1 species